rnacentral:rRNA from 1 species
GUGCCAGCAGCCGCGGUAAUACAGAGGUCCCAAGCGUUGUUCGGAUUUACUGGGCGUAAAGGGUGCGUAGGCGGUUGUUUAAGUCUGACGUGAAAUCUCCGGGCCUAACCCGGAAACUGCGUUGGAUACUAUUCAACUAGAGGAAUGGAGGGGAGACUGGAAUACUUGGUGUAGCAGUGAAAUGCGUAGAUAUCAAGUGGAACACCAGUGGCGAAGGCGAGUCUCUGGACAUUUCCUGACGCUGAGGCACGAAAGCCAGGGGAGCAAACGGGAUUAGAUACCCCAGUAGUCC